CAGCAGCCGCGGUAAUACAGAGGGUGCGAGCGUUAAUCGGAUUUACUGGGCGUAAAGCGUGCGUAGGCGGCUUCUUAAGUCGGAUGUGAAAUCCCUGAGCUUAACUUAGGAAUUGCAUUCGAUACUGGGAAGCUAGAGUAUGGGAGAGGAUGGUAGAAUUCCAGGUGUAGCGGUGAAAUGCGUAGAGAUCUGGAGGAAUACCGAUGGCGAAGGCAGCCAUCUGGCCUAAUACUGACGCUGAGGUACGAAAGCAUGGGGAGCAAACAGGAUUAGAUACCCGGGUAGUCCCUGUCUCUUACAU
rnacentral:rRNA from 1 species